ACGCGUAAGAACCUGCCUUCAGGACUGGAAUAACAGAGGGAAACGUCUGCUAAAACCGGAUGUGCCGAAAGGUGAAAAAUUAAUUGCCUGAAGAGGGGCUUGCGUCUGAUUAGCUAGUUGGAGUGGUAAAAGCACACCAAGGCGACGAUCAGUAACUGGUCUGAGAGGAUGAGCAGUCACACUGGGACUGAGACACGGCCCAGACUCCUACGGGAGGCAGCAGUGGGGAAUUUUCCGCAAUGGGCGAAAGCCUGACGGAGCAAGACCGCGUGAGGGAGGAAGGCCCUAGGGUUGUAAACCUCUUUUCUCUGGGAAGAAGAAUGACGGUACCAGAGGAAUAAGCCUCGGCUAACUCCGUGCCAGCAGCCGCGGUAAUACGGAGGAGGCAAGCGUUAUCCGGAAUGAUUGGGCGUAAAGAGUUCGUAGGUGGUAAUGAAAGUUUGCCGUUAAAGACUAAGGCUCAACCUUAGGAGAGCGGUGAAAACUACAUAACUAGAGUAUGGAAGGGGCAGAGGGAAUUCUUGGUGUAGCGGUGAAAUGCGUAGAGAUCAAGAGGAACAUCGGUGGCGAAAGCGCUCUGCUAGGCCAAAACUGACACUGAGGAACGAAAGCUAGGGGAGCGAAAGGGAUUAGAUACCCCUGUAGUCCUAGCCGUAAACGAUGGAUACUAGGUGUGGCUUGUAUCGACCCGAGCCGUGCCGUAGCUAACGCGUUAAGUAUCCCGCCUGGGGAGUACGCAC
rnacentral:rRNA from 1 species